UUAAAGCAAUGUCGUGGAUAUUUUGAACGUUCAGCAUACUUUCGCUGUACGAUGGUUAUACUAAAACGUGUACCUCAAUUUCAAAGAAUUCGUUUGGAUAGUCAUUCAAAUACAGAAUAUUGAAGAUAUUUAGUAUUGCACUUAAUUACACAAAACUUAAACCAUAACGCAUAAUAUCUCCUUGUUUAUAUUCCCUCAUAUUGGACUUCAAAC
rnacentral:sRNA from 1 species